rnacentral:rRNA from 1 species
UACGUAGGGUGCAAGCGUUAAUCGGAAUUACUGGGCGUAAAGCGUGCGCAGGCGGUGAUGUAAGACAGGUGUGAAAUCCCGGGCUAACCUGGGAACUGCAUUUGUGACUGCAUCGCUGGAGUGCGGCAGAGGGGGAUGGAAUUCCGCGUGUAGCAGUGAAAGCGUAGAGUAUGCGGAGGAACACCGAUGGCGAGGCAAUCCCCUGGGC